GUCUGCUAUCCCUUUUUACUGCUUGAAUUUUUUCCCCUGUUUUUAUUCAUUUCUUUUCGGACACUGCUCUGUGUUUGUUAAAUGGGGAUUGUGGAUGCCGACAUACAAGGGAAGGUUGGUAUUGAGCUCCCAUUGGUGUUGUUCGCCGAGUCUUGAAUCACAGCAUCAGCAAGCAUAUGGCCGACACCACCCGAGUCUUGAAAAGUGUCUAAAAUGAUUAUCUCUCUUUGUGAGCCUGCCAGAUAAUACCCUUUAUUCCUAUCCAGUCUGUACUAUCACACUAUCUCAUAUUGAAAAGCUUAUGCUUAUGUAGUUGUAAGGCUGGUGCACCAUUUGGACAGUCUCUUCAGACAUUGGAGUUUGGAUCCAUUCAAGUAAUUAGAUCAAAAGGAGUUUUGGUGAAAUUGUCAAAAAGAAUCAGGCAAAGUAAAGGUUAUUUUGGAUUCAACGAUUAGUUAAGCCGACUUGAGAAAUGCUUGGCACUGAUAAAUCUUACGUUGACAUUUGUAUUUA